GACGAACGUUGGCGGCGUGCUUAAUACAUGCAAGUCAACUGAAGCAGUGGUAGCAAUCUCGCUGUGGAGGUGGCGCACGGGUGAGUAACACGUAGGUAAUCUGCCUUCAGGUCUGGCAUAACUCCGGGAAACCGGGGCUAAUAGCAGAUGAUGCAGCGGCUCGACAUCGAGACAGUUGUUAAAGCUAUGGCGCCUGAAGAUGAGCCUGCGCCUGAUUAGCUAGUUGGCGGGGUAACGGCCCACCAAGGCAACGAUCAGUAGCUGGUCUGAGAGGAUGAUCAGCCACACUGGAACUGAGACACGGUCCAGACUCCUACGGGAGGCAGCAGUAAGGAAUAUUGCUCAAUGGGAGAAAUCCUGAAGCAGCAAUGCCGCGUGAGGGACGAAGGGCUUUUGCUUGUAAACCUCUGUAGUGAGAGAAAAAAAUCCCAAUCUUUGGGACAUGAUGGUAUCUCAAAAGUAAGCCCCGGCUAACUACGUG
rnacentral:rRNA from 1 species